rnacentral:rRNA from 1 species
GGGUCAGUAGGUUGGUCGUGCCACCGGUACGUACUGGUCUCACUGAUUCCUCCUUCCUGAAGAACCGUAAUGCCAUUAAUUUGGUGUUGCGGGGAAACAGGACGGUUACUUUGAAAAAAUUAGAGUGUUUAAAGCAAGCUAACGCUUGAAUACAUUAGCAUGGAGUAAUGAAAUAGGACGAUCGAUCCUAUUUUGUUGGUUUCUAGGAUUGACGUA